rnacentral:tRNA from 1 species
UGGCUCAGUUGGUAGAGCAUGGUCUUUGUAAUGCCAGGGUUGUGGGUUUGAUUCCCAC